CUGCUGCUCUGCACACUGACUCCUUCACCAGGGAUCGCUCUGAAAAUAUUUUAUGAAGUCCUUUCAACUACCACUGUUCUGCACACUGACUCCUUCACCAGGAAUUUUUCCAGAAAUAUUUUACCAGAUCUUCUCAAUCCAACUAUUACUGCCCUGAAGCUCUAACAUCAAUGAGUUUAAAAUACUCAUUCAAAUGAAUGACUCGCAAGUGGUUUUUUUUUAAUAACUUCCUAUAAUUAUGCAUGAUUAACUUAACUCUUAUUAACUCAAUAACAUGACUAACCUCACUAACUUAAUCAGUUAUUAUAAAUACCACUUGUUGAGUUUUACUAUGAAGGUUUUACUGAGUUUGCUUGGAAGACGGGCUGAACGAUUAAUCAUGGAAAACGACAACUUGAAGCCAAGUGGUCUUCAACUCUCAAAUUUCUCAUUAGUGAGAACAAUCAUUUGAUCUACUAAUUAUGCUGUCCGUCCGUCCGUCUUUGCACCAAAGAAGAUGCCUACUGUGAUAUA